rnacentral:rRNA from 1 species
AAUCAACGCUGGCGGCGUGCCUCAGACAUGCAAGUCGAACCGAGAACCGUCCCUUCGGGGAGGAGACAGUGGCGCACGGGUGAGUAACACGUGGGUAAUUUACCUUUGGGUGGGAACGAACAGCCGGAAACGGCUGCUAAUACCGCAUAAUGCAGCGGCUCGACAUCGAGACAGUUGUUAAAGCGGGGAUCGCAAGACCUCGCGCCUGAAGAGAAGCCUGCGGCGGAUUAGCUAGUUGGUAGGGUAAUGGCCUACCAAGGCGACGAUCUGUAACCGGCCUGAGAGGGCGGUCGGUCACACUGACACUGACAUACGGGUCAGACUCCUACGGAGGCAGCAGUCGGGAAUUUUGGGCAAUGGCGAAAGCCUGACCCAGCAACGCCGCGUG